UAAGGAAUAUUGGGCAAUGGGCGAAAGCCUGACCCAGCCAUGCCGCGUGCAGGAUUGAAGACCUUAUGGGUUGUAAACUGCUUUUAUAUAGGAAGAAAAAACUCUUGCGAGAGUAACUGACGGUACUAUAUGAAUAAGGACCGGCUAACUCCGUGCCAGCAGCCGCGGUAAUACGGAGGGUUCAAGCGUUAUCCGGAUUUAUUGGGUUUAAAGAGUGCGUAGGUGGUUUAUUAAGUCAGUGGUGAAAUCCUACAGCUCAACUGUAGAACUGCCAUUGAUACUGGUAAACUUGAGUUUGGCUGAGGUAAGCGGAAUUUAUGAUGUAGCGGUGAAAUGCAUAGAUAUCAUAAGGAACACCAAUAGCGUAGGCAGCUUACUAGACCAAUACUGACACUGAGGCACGAAAGCGUGGGUAGCGAACAGG
rnacentral:rRNA from 1 species